GGGCUUGACAUCCCACGAAUCCCUUCGAAAGAAGGGAGUGCCCGCAAGGGAGCGCGGAGACAGGUGGUGCAUGGCUGUCGUCAGCUCGUGUCGUGAGAUGUUGGGUUAAGUCCCGCAACGAGCGCAACCCUCACCUCUUGUUGCCACCAGGUCAUGCUGGGCACUCUAGAGGAACUGCCCCGGUCAACGGGGAGGAAGGCGGGGAUGACGUCAAGUCAUCAUGCCCCUUACGUCCUGGGCUACACACGUGCUACAAUGGCCGGUACAAAGGGAUGCCACACCGCGAGGUAGAGCUAAACCCAAAAAGCCGGUCUAAGUUCAGAUUGGAGUCUGCAACUCGACUCCAUGAAGGAGGAAUCGCUAGUAAUCGCGUAUCAGCACGACGCGGUGAAUACGUUCCCGGGCCUUGUACACACCGCCCGUCACACCACGAAAGCCAGUUGUACUCGAAGUCGCUGAG
rnacentral:rRNA from 1 species